rnacentral:rRNA from 1 species
GGAUUAGGCAUGCAAGUCGAACGCUUGUAGCAAUACAGGAGUGGCGAAAGGGUGAGGAACACGUGAGUAACCUACCCCCAAGUUGGGAAUAACACCGGGAAACUGGUGCUAAUACCGAAUGUGGCUGAUGAACCGCAUGGUUUAUCAGCUAAAGAUUUAUCGCUUGGGGAGGGGCUCGCGUCCCAUUAGCUAGUUGGUGAGGUAACGGCUCACCAAGGCAACGAUGGGUAGCUGGUCUGAGAGGAUGGCCAGCCACACUGGGACUGAGACACUGCCCAGACUCCUACGGGAGGCUGCAGUCGAGAAUCUUGGGCAAUGCGCGAAAGCGUGACCCAGCAAUGCCGCGUGCAGGAUGAAGGCCUUCGGGUUGUAAACUGCUGUCACCCGGGACGAAGAAUUGACGGUACCGGGAGAGGAAGCCACGGCUAACUACGUGCCAGCAGCCGCGGUAAUA